rnacentral:rRNA from 1 species
GACGAACGCUGGCGGCGUGCUUAACACAUGCAAGUCGAACGGAAAGGCCCUGCUUUUGUGGGGUGCUCGAGUGGCGAACGGGUGAGUAACACGUGAGUAUCCUGCCCUUGACUUUGGGAUAACUUCAGGAAACUGGGGCUAAUACCGGAUAGGAGCUCCUGCUGCAUGGUGGGGGUUGGAAAGUUUCGGCGGUUGGGGAUGGACUGGCGGCUUAUCCGCUUGUUGGUGGGGUAGUGGCUUACCCAGGCUUUGACGGGUAGCGCGCCUGAGAGGGUGACCGGCCACAGUGGGACUGAGGUAAGGCAGAGGGUGCGACGGGAGGGAGCAGUGGGGAAGAUUGCAGAAGGGGCGGAGGCCGAGUGCAGCAACGCCGCGUGCGGGAUGACGGCCUUCGGGGUGUAAAACGCUUGCGCCUGUGACGAAGCGUGAGUGACGGUAAUGGGUAAAGAAGCCCCGGCUAACUACGUG